rnacentral:rRNA from 1 species
GACGAACGCUGGCGGCGUGCUUAACACAUGCAAGUCGAACGGUGAAGCUCCAGCUUGCUGGAGUGGAUCAGUGGCGAAAGGGUGAGUAACACGUGAGCAACCUGCCCCUGACUCUGGAAUAAGCGCUGGAAACGGGGUCUAAUACUGGGUACGAGAAGGGUCCGCAUGGGCACUUUCUGGAAAGUUUUUCGGUUGGGGAUGGGCUCGCGGCCUAUCAGCUUGUUGGUGAGGUAAUGGCUCACCAAGGCGAAGACGGGUAGCCGGCCUGAGAGGGCGACCGGCCACACUGGGACUGAGACACGGCCCAGACUCCUACGGGAGGCAGCAGUGGGGAAUAUUGCACAAUGGGCGAAAGCCUGAUGCAGCGACGCCGCGUGAGGGAUGACGGCCUUCGGGUUGUAAACCUCUUUCAGUAGGGAAGAAGCGAAAGUGACGGUACCUGCAGAAGAAGCACCGGCUAACUACGUG